GGAACACUGACAGAGACUAUCUCGCCUUACCAUUCAACAGCAGUCUUCCGCCACUCUGGUGAAGUCGUGUGCCCCACGCGACCAGGCAUUAUUACAAACGGCACGGCCGAACCUAGAGGUUAUUACAUCUCUGUGAGCAACAACAACCGUGUGUUCAGCCAGCCGAAACUCUUUCUUCCUUUCCACUCGGAUGAUUUCACUUGUGACGUAAACGGCUUGAACUUCACUUGUAAUAAUUUGGAGAAUGACACCUCUGCCCACCUCCUACAGCUACCAAACUUCGCGAGGCUCCUUCUCUGCAGGAAUGGCGAUGUCGUCAGAUUUUUCGUGCUGCCUUUUGAAGGUUACAGGACGUUUGAUGGCUAUUGUUCCCGCGCCGAUCAAGUUGGCUUCACUAAGGUACCCGAACUGGAACCGAGAAACUUUCCAACGCUAGCGCAAAUCAUCCGGUACACCGUGUCAUCAGUGAAAUAUUAAGCUGUAGGCUUACUACCGAUACUCUCCAAUAUAUAAUUCUUACUGUCCAUGGAAGACAAACUAGACUAGUCUUUUUCACGUGCAUAAUCAAAUAAAUACGAUAGGUUGCAUCAGAACCUUUCCUCCCUUCCCUGUGUGUUUAUAAAUCAUUGCCUCUGAGUUCGCCAGUUGUAGAGGCCUAUAGCUUUCCUGAGUGCGAUUUUGUGCUUAACUGCAACAUCAUAAAUGUCGUAAAUAUAAUCCUUACAUUCAAUGGAAGACAAUGAAUACAUACCAGUCUUUGUCAAGUGCCUAAUCAAAUAAAUA